rnacentral:rRNA from 3 species
UAACUGGAGGACCGAACCGACUAAUGUUGAAAAAUUAGCGGAUGACCUGUGGCUGGGGGUGAAAGGCCAAUCAAACCGGGAGAUAGCUGGUUCUCCCCGAAAGCUAUUUAGGUAGCGCCUCGUGAAUUCAUCUCCGGGGGUAGAGCACUGUUUCGGCUAGGGGGCCAUCCCGGCUUACCAACCCGAUGCAAACUGCGAAUACCGGAGAAUGUUAUCACGGGAGACACACGGCGGGUGCUAACGUCCGUCGUGAAGAGGGAAACAACCCAGACCGCCAGCUAAGGUCCCAAAGUCAUGGUUAAGUGGGAAACGAUGUGGGAAGGCCCAGACAGCCAGGAUGUUGGCUUAGAAGCAGCCAUCAUUUAAAGAAAGCGUAAUAGCUCACUGGUCGAGUCGGCCUGCGCGGAAGAUGUAACGGGGCUAAACCAUGCACCGAAGCUGCGGCAGCGACACUGUGUGUUGUUGGGUAGGGGAGCGUUCUGUAAGCCUGUGAAGGUGUGUCGUGAGGCAUGCUGGAGGUAUCAGAAGUGCGAAUGCUGACAUAAGUAACGAUAAAGCGGGUGAAAAGCCCGCUCGCCGGAAGACCAAGGGUUCCUGUCCAACGUUAAUCGGGGCAGGGUGAGUCGACCCCUAAGGCGAGGCCGAAAGGCGUAGUCGAUGGGAAACGGGUUAAUAUUCCCGUACUUGGUGUUACUGCGAAGGGGGGACGGAGAAGGCUAUGUUGGCCGGGCGACGGUUGUCCCGGUUUAAGCGUGUAGGUGUGUGUUCCAGGUAAAUCCGGUUCACUUUAACACUGAGGCGUGACGACGAGGCACUACGGUGCUGAAGCAACAAAUGCCCUGCUUCCAGGAAAAGCCUCUAAGCAUCAGGUAACAUCAAAUCGUACCCCAAACCGACACAGGUGGUCAGGUAGAGAAUACCAAGGCGCUUGAGAGAACUCGGGUGAAGGAACUAGGCAAAAUGGUGCCGUAACUUCGGGAGAAGGCACGCUGACACGUAGGUGAAGUGAUUUACUCAUGGAGCUGAAGUCAGUCGAAGAUACCAGCUGGCUGCAACUGUUUAUUAAAAACACAGCACUGUGCAAACACGAAAGUGGACGUAUACGGUGUGACGCCUGCCCGGUGCCGGAAGGUUAAUUGAUGGGGUCAGCGCAAGCGAAGCUCCUGAUCGAAGCCCCGGUAAACGGCGGCCGUAACUAUAACGGUCCUAAGGUAGCGAAAUUCCUUGUCGGGUAAGUUCCGACCUGCACGAAUGGCGUAAUGAUGGCCAGGCUGUCUCCACCCGAGACUCAGUGAAAUUGAACUCGCUGUGAAGAUGCAGUGUACCCGCGGCAAGACGGAAAGACCCCGUGAACCUUUACUAUAGCUUGACACUGAACAUUGAGCCUUGAUGUGUAGGAUAGGUGGGAGGCUUUGAAGUGUGGACGCCAGUCUGCAUGGAGCCGACCUUGAAAUACCACCCUUUAAUGUUUGAUGUUCUAACGUGGACCCGUUACCCGGGUUGCGGACAGUGUCUGGUGGGUAGUUUGACUGGGGCGGUCUCCUCCUAAAGAGUAACGGAGGAGCACGAAGGUUGGCUAAUCCUGGUCGGACAUCAGGAGGUUAGUGCAAUGGCAUAAGCCAGCUUGACUGCGAGCGUGACGGCGCGAGCAGGUGCGAAAGCAGGUCAUAGUGAUCCGGUGGUUCUGAAUGGAAGGGCCAUCGCUCAACGGAUAAAAGGUACUCCGGGGAUAACAGGCUGAUACCGCCCAAGAGUUCAUAUCGACGGCGGUGUUUGGCACCUCGAUGUCGGCUCAUCACAUCCUGGGGCUGAAGUAGGUCCCAAGGGUAUGGCUGUUCGCCAUUUAAAGUGGUACGCGAGCUGGGUUUAGAACGUCGUGAGACAGUUCGGUCCCUAUCUGCCGUGGGCGCUGGAGAACUGAGGGGGGCUGCUCCUAGUACGAGAGGACCGGAGUGGACGCAUCACUGGUGUUCGGGUUGUCAUGCCAAUGGCACUGCCCGGUAGCUAAAUGCGGAAGAGAUAAGUGCUGAAAGCAUCUAAGCACGAAACUUGCCCCGA